rnacentral:rRNA from 1 species
AAUCAACGCUGGCGGCGUGCCUCAGACAUGCAAGUCGAACGAUUAAAGCUCUCUUCGGAGAGUGCAUAGAGUGGCGCACGGGUGAGUAACACGUAAGUAAUCUACCCUCGAGUGGGGAAUAACGUCCGGAAACGGGCGCUAAUACCGCAUAAUGCAGCGGCAUCAUAAGAUGACAGUUGUUAAAGAUUUAUCGCUUGAGGAGGAGCUUGCGGCAGAUUAGCUAGUUGGUAAGGUAACGGCAUACCAAGGCUACGAUCUGUAACCGGUCUUAGAGGGCGGUCGGUCACACUGACACUGAAUAACGGGUCAGCCUCCUACGAGAGGCAGCAGUCGGGAAUUUUGGGCAAUGGGCGAAAGCCUGACCCAGCAACGCCGCGUGAAGGAUGAAGUAUUUCGGUAUGUAAACUUCGAAAGAAUAGGAAGAAUUAAUGACGGUACUAUUUAUAAGGUCCGGCUAACUACGUGCCAGCCGCCGCUGUAACAC